rnacentral:rRNA from 1 species
UGGCUCAGGACGAACGCUGGCGGCGCGCCUAACACAUGCAAGUCGAACGGAGCUUAAAGGAGCUUGCUUUUUUAAGCUUAGUGGCGGACGGGUGAGUAACACGUGAGCAACCUGCCUUUCAGAGGGGGAUAACGUUUGGAAACGAACGCUAAUACCGCAUAACAUUGCUUUAAGGCAUCUUAAGGCAAUCAAAGGAGCAAUCCGCUGAAAGAUGGGCUCGCGUCCGAUUAGAUAGUUGGCGGGGGUAACGGCCCACCAAGUCGACGAUCGGUAGCCGGACUGAGAGGUUGAACGGCCACAUUGGGACUGAGACACGGCCCAGACUCCUACGGGAGGCAGCAGUGGGGAAUAUUGCACAAUGGGGGAAACCCUGAUGCAGCGACGCCGCGUGAGGGAAGAAGGUUUUCGGAUUGUAAACCUCUGUCUUUGGUGACGAAAGAUGACGGUAGCCAAAGAGGCAGCUACGGCUAACUACGUGCCAGCAGCCGCGGUAAUACGUAGGUGGCAAGCGUUGUCCGGAAUUACUGGGUGUAAAGGGAGCGUAGCGGGAAGACAAGUUGAAUGUUUAAACUAUCGGCUCAACCGAUAAUCGCGUUCAAAACUGUUUUUCUUGAGUGAAGUAGAGGCAGGCGGAAUUCCUAGUGUAGCGGUGAAAUGCGUAGAUAUUAGGAGGAACACCAGUGGCGAAGGCGGCCUGCUGGGCUUUAACUGACGCUGAGGCUCGAAAGCGUGGGUAGCAAACAGGAUUAGAUACCCUGGUAGUCCACGCUGUAACGAUGAUACUAGGUGUGGGGGGACUGACCCCUUCCGUGCGCAGUCAACACAAUAAGUAUCCACUGGNNGAGUACGNCGCANNGGUGAAACUCAAAGGAAUUGACGGGGGCCCGCACAAGCAGUGGAGUAUGUGGUNUAAUUCGAAGCAACGCGAAGAACCUUACCAGGUCUUGACAUCGAGUGACAGCCCUAGAGAUAGGGCCUCCCUUCGGGGCACAAAGACAGGUGGUGCAUGGUUGUCGUCAGCUCGUGUCGUGAGAUGUUGGGUUAAGUCCCGCAACGAGCGCAACCCUUACCUUUAGUUGCUACGCAAGAGCACUCUAGAGGGACUGCCGUUGACAAAACGGAGGAAGGUGGGGAUGACGUCAAAUCAUCAUGCCCCUUAUGACCUGGGCCACACACGUACUACAAUGGCCGUCAACAGAGGGAAGCAAAGCCGUGAGGCAGAGCAAACCCCUAAAAACGGUCUCAGUUCGGAUUGCAGGCUGCAACCCGCCUGCAUGAAGCCGGAAUUGCUAGUAGUCGCGGAUCAGCAUGCCGCGGUGAAUACGUUCCCGGGCCUUGUACACACCGCCCGUCACACCAUGAGAGUUGGCAACACCCGAAGUCAGUAGCCUAACCGCAAGGAGGGCGCUGCCGAAGGUGGGGUUGAUGAUUGGGGUGAAGUCGUA